GACGAACGCUGGCGGCGUGCUUAACACAUGCAAGUCGAACGGAAAGGCCCUGCUUUUGUGGGGUGCUCGAGUGGCGAACGGGUGAGUAACACGUGAGUAACCUUCCCUUGACUUUGGGAUAACUUCAGGAAACUGGGGCUAAUACCGGAUAGGAGCUCCUGCUGCAUGGUGGGGGUUGGAAAGUUUCGGCGGUUGGGGAUGGACUCGCGGCUUAUCAGCUUGUUGGUGGGGUAGUGGCUUACCAAGGCUUUGACGGGUAGCCGGCCUGAGAGGGUGACCGGGCACAUGGGGACUGAGGGACGGACCAGACGCCUACGGGAGGCAGCAGGGGGGAAUAUUGCACAAUGGGGGGAAGCCUGAUGAAGCAACGCCGCGUGCGGGAUGAAGGCCUUCGGGGUGUAAACCGCUGUCGCCUGUGACGAAGCGUGAGUGACGGUAAUGGGUAAAGAAGCACCGGCUGACUACGUG
rnacentral:rRNA from 1 species